AGCUAGAAGCUCGGUUGGUAGAGCAUGAGACCCUGAAUUUCAGGACUGUGGGUUCGAGCCCCAUGUUGGGUG